UGCCCCAUGGCUGAGUUGGUUACAGCGUCCGACUGUUAUCCUUGUUGUUAAUAAUAGUAGGGAAAGCUUAUCGGAAGGUCGUGAGUUCGAGCCUCACUGGGGCAG